rnacentral:rRNA from 1 species
GACGAACGCUGGCGGCGUGCUUAACACAUGCAAGUCGAACGAAGUGGCGAACGGGUGAGUAAUACGUGGGUAACCUGCCCUACUUUUUGGGAUAAGCCUUGGAAACGGGGUCUAAUACCGUAUAAAGGGGGAUGGGCUCGCGGCAUAUCAGCUUGUUGGUGGGGUGAUGGCCUACCAAGGCGGUGACGGGGAGCCGGCCUGAUAGGCGGACCGGCCACAUUGGGACGGCGCUACGGCCCAGACUGCUCCGGAGGGCAGCAGUGGGGGAUAUGGAACAAUGGGCGAAAGCCUGAUGCAGCGACGCCGCGUGGGGGAUGAAGGCUUUCGGGUUGUAAACCUCUUUCGGUAUCGAACGGGUAGGUAGAGAAGAAGCGCCGGCUAACUACGUGCCAGCAGCCGCGGUAAUUC